AAACCGACACAGGUGGGUGAGGAGAGUAUCCUAAGGCCAGCGAGAGAACUGUUGUUAAGGAACUCGGCAAAAUGACCCCGUAACUUAGGGAUAAGGGGUGCCACCAUCAGGUGGCCGCAGAGAAUAGGCCCAAGCGACUGUUUACCAAAAACAUAGGUUUCUGCUAAGUCGCAAGACGAUGUAUAGGAGCUGACGCCUGCCCGGUGCUGGAAGGUUAAGGGGAUCUGUUAGAGCAAUCGAAGCAGUGAACUUAAGCCCCAGUAAACGGCGGCCGUAACUAUAACGGUCCUAAGGUAGCGAAAUUCCUUGUCGGGUAAGUUCCGACCCGCACGAAAGGCGUAACGAUUUGGGCACUGUCUCAACAACAGACUCGGUGAAAUUGUAAUUCCGGUGAAGAUGCCGGAUACCUGCGACAGGACGGAAAGACCCCAUGGAGCUUUACUGUAGCUUGACAUUGGGUCUUGGUACUACAUGUACAGGAUAGGUGGGAGGCUUUGAAACCAGGACGCCAGUUUUGGCGGAGCCAUCCUUGGGAUACCACCCUUGUAGUACUGGGACUCUAACCAUAGACCAUGAAUCUGGUCUUGGGACACUGUCAGGUGGGCAGUGUGACUGGGGCGGUCGCCUCCCAAAAGGUAACGGAGGCGCUCAAAGGUUCUCUCAGUACGGUCGGAAAUCGUACGUAGAGUGUAAAGGCAAAAGAGAGCUUGAUUGCAAGACAUACAGGUCGAGCAAGGAUGAAAAUCGGACUUAGUGAUCCGGUGGUUCUGCGUGGAAGGGCCAUCGCUCAACGGAUAAAAGCUACCCUGGGGAUAACAGGCUUAUCUCCCCCAAGAGUCCACAUCGACGGGGAGGUUUGGCACCUCGAUGUCGGCUCAUCACAUCCUGGGGCUGUAGUAGGUCCCAAGGGUUGGGCUGUUCGCCCAUUAAAGUGGUACGCGAGCUGGGUUCAGAACGUCGUGAGACAGUUCGGUCCCUAUCCGUCGCAGGCGUAGGAAAUUUGAGAAGACCUGUCCUUAGUACGAGAGGACCGGGAUGGACGUACCUCUGGUGUACCAGUUGU
rnacentral:rRNA from 1 species